UGGGGGGUCGUUCAAGGGUAGGACACAUGGCUCUGGACCAUGGAAUCGGGGUUCGAAUCCCUGCCCCCCAG
rnacentral:tRNA from 3 species